rnacentral:rRNA from 1 species
AAUUAACGCUGGCGGCAUGCCUAACACAUGCAAGUCGCACGAGAAAGCCCGGUUCGCCGGGCGAGUAAAGUGGCGCACGGGUGAGUAACGCGUGGAUAAUCUACCUCUUUCUGGGGGAUAACGCACCGAAAGGUGCGCUAAUACCGCAUAUUCCGGUUGGCUUUCGGGCUGAUCGGUAAAGGUGGCCUCUUCAUGAAAGCUAUCGGGAAGAGAUGAGUCCGCGUCCCAUUAGCUUGUUGGUAGGGUAACGGCCUACCAAGGCGACGAUGGGUAGCUGGUCUGAGAGGACGAUCAGCCACACUGGAACUGGAACACGGUCCAGACUCCUACGGGUGGCUG